rnacentral:tRNA from 1 species
GCUAGUCUUGAGCAAAAGAAGCUCAGGGACAGUGCCCAGGCCCUGGGUUCAAACCCCAGGACUGGCA